UGGGGAUGACGUCAAAUCAUCAUGCCCCUUAUGUACCUGGGCUACACACGUGCUACAAUGGGCGGUACAGACGGACGCAAAGCCGCGAGGUGGAGCAAAUCCUAAAAAGCCGGUCUCAGUUCGGAUUGCAGGCUGCAAUUCGCCUGCAUGAAGUCGGAAUCGCUAGUAAUCGCAGGUCAGCAUACUGCGGUGAAUACGUUCCCGGGCCUU
rnacentral:rRNA from 1 species